UCUAGAUCACGUGGCCCUGCCAUUCCAGCCACAGCCAGGAGUGCAAAUCUAAGAAGAAGAUGAAGGCAAGAAAAGGCAGGUUCUUCUAGUCAUGAUCAAUGGAAAUAAUGAGCCAGCACCAUAUCAUGGGCACACGCAAGCAGCUUGUGGAGAGGUCCCCGCAGUAAGGAACUGAGGUCUCCUACCAAUAACAGGCACUGACUCCCCAGCCAUGUGAUGGAGCCACCUUGGAAAUGGAUCCUGCAGCCCAGUCAAGCCUUUGGACGAAUGCAGCUCCAACUGACAUCUUGACCAUAACCUUAUGAGAGAUCCUGAGCCAGACCCACCAGAUAAGCCACUCUCAAAUUCCUA
rnacentral:lncRNA from 1 species